UGUUUUCACUAAACCCGGAAAGUCGUUGAACUGAUCGACUGUUGUUGAGACGGAGGAAACAGGAUUCAUUCUCUAUAUGAGAUUAAGGCGUUCUACUGCUAUUCCUGUGAUCACGUUUUCCUGGUGGAUGUCAACUAUGCAAGGUGAAGAUAACGAACAGUGAUCAAUCUCUUAACUCCUAUAAGCAAUACAAAUAGAUAGUUAGGCAAACACGGACCCCUGGACACACCAGAGGUGGGAUCAGGUGCCUAGGAGAAGUAAGCAUCCCCUGUUGACCGGUCACACUCGCUGUGAGCCCUAUAUCCCGAUUUCAAACUAUUUCGAAUGUUAGUGUCUUUGUUCCUCAGUGGUAGUUGCACGUGAAACUCCGGAAGUAUAGUGUGAUUAGUAAACGAACGCAAGAUUUACUUUUGAAUCUUUCUAACUUAUUCUGAUGAUACUGGUGAGAGACGAUAACAUUGUACUUUGCUCCUGUAUCUUUCUGAAUUCGGUAGGUUUCUCACAUACUUGGAGUGUCACUAGCCAUUUGUCUGUGUUUGACUGACAUUUAUUGUUAUCUGUAGCCAGAAGAUCGAGUUCGUCCACAUCGCUGGAAUAAUGAUCUGACAUACCGUGGUCAGCUGUAGAAAUUAAUCUAUUCCUACUGCCUUCCUGAACCGGAGCAGACAGGCUCAUCAUUGGAGUGGUUAACCAAUUUCUUCUUAAAGAGCGGGUCCCGGUGAGAAAUUGUAAGUGGCGAAAUCUUCGUUUUGUUCCGUAAGCCGCGCCUCCAAGAUUCUGAUGUGACGUCACACCCAGGACUCGACCCAAAAUGAAGCAACGAUGUGUUGUCGGUGGAUGCAGCAACACUAAAAAUGUUCGUCUUUAUACGAGUUUCCUUCGAAAAUACCGGUAUCUCUAGGAAAAGAGUGGGGCGAGUUUGUUUAUUCCACUCGUUACAACUAGAAACGUGGAAGCGAUACGUCUGUCUGUAGUGUCAUUUCAAUACCAUUACCUCCAUGCUCCAAUGUCGAAGUCGGUUAAAGAAAUUGGCAUGGACACCUGUGGCCAUGUUAUUCACCAGUAAAAAUCUAUACCCUCAACACCAAAACCUGAGCAUGACACUCGCUGUGCAGACGAAUAAGCUAUAUUAUAUAUUUAAUGUGUGUCACUGUGUUUACAUACAUGUACGAGUCAUGCAAUGUCAUGUAGUCGUGACAAUCCCCAUUGCUUUGCAUCACGCAUUUCAUAGCUAAUUUCAAUUUAUUUGUACUAUAUUAUGCAGUAACAAGAAUAUGGACUUUUACGGAAUUACCCUGCCCUUCCCCUUCUUUAAAUCCGCCACUGCAUGAUUUCUGAUAAAUAAUGAUACAUGUACAUGGUCAUAAACUAUUUUGGCAGCUAGCUGUUUCAUACCAUUAAAUGACCAUUUUAUAAACUACUAAUUGCAUCUUUGAAACAUACUUGUACAGUUGAAACUGAUACUGAAGCUAUUCCUGACCCACCUCAGAAACACUCAAGGGGAACUCAAUUAGGACUAAAGCGAGGGAGCUGCAGAAGUCUAGGUGUUCAGGUAGACAACUUGUUGGUUUUCAAUGUGAAGAGACAUAAAUUGAAGAUCUUCGAGAAAAUCGAUUCUUCAACAGGACUACAUGCUGCUCAAGCACUGAAACACAGGGCAGUCCUCAUAAUGAUGAACCGUUUGUAUUACAUGCAAGGUGAAGAUAACGAACAGUGAUCAUUCUCAUAACUCCUAUAAGCAAUACAAAAUAGAUAGUUGGGCAAACACGGACCCCUGGACAUACCAGAGGUGGGAUCAGGUGCCUAGGAGGAGUAAGCAUCCCCUGUUGACCGGUCACACCCGCCGUGAGCCCUAUAUCCUGAUCAGGUAAACAGAGUUAACCAUAGUCAAAAUCAGUGUGCCAAGAACGGCUUAACAAUCGGUAUGAAACUAGUCAGACAGCAUUUGACCCAAUGAUAGGUUGUAUUGACGAACUAGAUCGUUAUACUGACCAUAUAAUUUGCGAAAUGCUGACUUCAAUCGAUACUCUUGAAACCCCUGUACCAUCAACUUGUUUGCCAGUAGCUUACCUCGAUUUAUAAACUGACUAUACGCAGAGCAAGCUGCAUAUAUAUUUGCUUUUCUACAACACCCAUCUUCACUAAGGCCAAAAUAAAAUAUCAUGUAUGUUUCAAGUUCCCCGACCCUACCUACCUUUUAGCUGCUGACCCUAAAUAUUUUAUUGAUGAUAUGCAUGUGUAUGCAAGGUGAAUAUAACGAACAGCGACCAAUCUCACAACUCCUACAAGCAAUACAAAAUAGAUAAUUGGGCAAACACGGACCCCUGGACACACCAGAGGUAGGAUCAGGUGCCUAGGAUUACCAAAAGUGGAAUUAAUGCCAAGUUCGUUUAAAAUACAGUUGUAAUAAUGAGCCUUACAAACAAAGACAAUGUUGUUACUAGCUUUGUCAGCUGGAACCAAAACAUAUUCCUCAUGUAACCUAUCUAAUUCUUUUAUCACUUCUGGUUUACUAAACAUAGAAGGAUAGAUAGUACGUACUUUUGCUUUCAUGUGUCUAAUGCAGGAUUUUAAUAUCCCUCUUAUGCUUUUAACCCAUUCUGACAAUGUAUCAAGUUCUUCUUUUUCAUAUUUAGCCCAUCGUCUGGCAUAAUCUUCCACAGAACUCAUAAUAGAGAUGAAGUUCUGUCGCCAAUUAAAAGACCGAGGUUCUCUGUAUUUAGGACCUUUAAGAAUAAGUGAUUUGAGGUCCUCAUUUUCAACUAUAUCAACAUCACCAGUAAUGCCAUGUCCAGCUGAACUAUAGUUGAAAGAAGAUGAAGAACAAGAACAUGUUGGUGGAUUACGUAUAAGAUGGUCUAUAUUUAAGCACUGCAAAGUUUGUUUAUAAUUAUAAAAGAAAAGAAAAAUCCUGAAUUUGGAAGUUUUUUUUUUCUUUUUUGCAUUCGAUUUUCUUUCAUUUACAUUUUUAAAAACUACUAUUGAUCUUCAAAAUGUGUGAAAAGUAUCAAUAAUGUCAAUAGACCUGUAACGAAAGGUUACUAUUGUAUUAAAAACCAAGAUUUAAAAAAAAAUGCCUACCUACCCUACCUAAUGCUUUGGGGGGAGUGAAAUAGGAAACGUUCAUAUAUUUUAUUUUGGACUAAAUAGCGAACGGAAUGCUUAUUUUAUUCACAGCAGAUUUCAUAUGUACAUGUAUCUUAUGGUCUAGUUUGGCUAUAUUAAAUUUUUAGUCUUUUUGUCUUCCUGCAAUAUACACCCUCUGACAACAGUUUUCCGGGUCAUCGCCACUACCGCAAGACAAUAGUUUUGACUGUUUCCCAAGUAGGCAUGAAAUAAUUCUUUUAUUACCUAAUCUGCUAAUCGGGUAAUAGUUUCUCACGUGACUGGAAAACAGUUCAUCACGUGACCAAGAAACAGUUCGUCACGUGAUCGGGUAAUAUUAGCUCACGUGAUGAACUGUUUCACCCCUGCUCAUUUUGUGUACCUUUCUCUGCUGAUUAAAGUUGUAAAACAGGAAAAAAUAUGUAAUAUCAAUUUAUAUUGUAGAUUAGGUAAUGAUAUUAACUGUGUCAAUUUAAAUUCAACUUACUUCAUACUGUAUUGAUCAUGAGCAUUUGAAACAAUUAAGUUCAAGGAUCUAAAUUCAGUUGUCAAGGUUGGUGUCUGUGAAAACACAGUGUUUCAUUAAAAACGCUCUUUAAAUAAAAGUCGAAAAUUGGAAAUUAUGAGAAUAUCAUUUAAUUUUAAUAGUAUACAAUUAUUCCAUGCCUACUCGGGAAACAAUCAAUACUAUUGUCCCGAGGUAGUGGCGAAGACCCGGGGAACUUUUGUUAGAGGACGUAGGCCGAGGACAACAGUUUCCCCGGUCUUCGUCACUACCUUUAGGCGCAAUCGUUUUGACUCUCCCUAGUAGGCUUGAAAUAAUUGUUUCAUUACCUAAUCUGCUAAUCGAGCAAUAAUUUCUCACGUGACCAGGAAAGGGGUCGUCACGUGAUCGGGUAAUAUAGUAGGUCACGUGAUGAACUGUUUCACCCCUGCUCAUUUUGUGUACCUUUCUCUGCUGAUUAAAGUUGGAAAAAAAUGUGUAAUAUCAAUUUAUAUAGUAGAUUAGGUAAAAAAGUGUACUGUUCGUCAAUGUUUGGCUUAUAAUAGUAAUGGGCAUUUUAAGUCGUAGAAACAAGGUUGCUGAAUUCAAUAUGCUUGCCACGUCACAUAAUGUGAAGCAUUAUGUGAAGAAAAAGUUGCAAAAGAAAACUAUAGUUACAAAAAUAAAUACUUGCAUAUAUGUGUGUGUAAUUUUUCAAACAUUGAAGAAAUUCCCAAUAUUCCAAAAAUGGUAGAUGAUUUUGUCCCAAAUCAGCAGGGAAUAAAUGGCGAGAUCAAAAGAUCGACGUCGGAGAAAAUCUGAAUUGAAAUAAUUAGGGGGAGGGGGUAAACUGAAGUCUCUGUCAUUCGAUAUCUAUUAUGCUUUAGUGGAAAAAGAAAAAAGACAGGCGACUGUUAAAAACCACAUACAUAUUACAUUCUAAUGAACAUUUAAUAGUUUUAAUGUUCACUUUCAUUUGUGAAUAAACAGUGGAAAUUUGUACAGUGUUAUUUAUAAUCAUAUGUUUUUACUUGUUAAUCAGAAUUGAGUUUGUUGUCAGACAUUUAACUUUUGAAAUCGGGCCUAAGGUAGCUUUUAAAACUGAUGUGAAAUACAUUGCAACUCUUACUGUGGCUGCUUUAUGCUGUCUUCAAGUGUUGUAUUUUUGGAUUAGUUAUUUAAAAAUGUUUUAAAUUUUGUAGUCCCCAACAACUACCAGUGGAGGAGCCAGGGCCAUAUCAUCUGGAGGAAAAGGUUCCUUUUUUAUAAUGAAAACUACGUCAGCCUUUUUAAUUUUGUCCAAAAUACCACAGUCCUGCUGCUUGCGUCAUCAACAAGAGAGUUAGAACUUGCAUCAUCAAAAAUGCAAAAAAGUGUAAAUUUCUUAAUACAUUGUUCAGUCAACCAUGUGUUGAUAAAAUUCCUGCUGGAAAUUUCCUUCUUUUGGGAUCCAUUUUAUACUCUUACAGUUUUCGUAGCAAAUGCUUGCUAAUGUUUAAAUACUUGGAUAUCGCUUGCAUUGGACACAGUGCAUUUUGUACACACAGUAAAUCUUGAUCUAUAUAGCCUGUAUUUCAUGUUCAAUAUCAAGCAUGAAGACAUUCAUUGAUGCUGAGGGUUUGUGUUCUGUCCUACUCUUGUCGGUAGGCACAAUAAGCCGUUUUAAAGACACAUAUCCAAACAUACACUUUAAAGUAACUCCACCCUCCUGUGAUGUCAUCAGAUUUUGCAAAAUCAAUGAUUUAUUUAGAUUUAUGCAUGAUAGGAACAUAAAUUUUGUUGGAGUCUUUUCCUAUAGCUAUUGUAAAAAAUCUUGUUAAAAAUAAAAUAUUUCAAAAGUGUAAGUUAUAGAUGAAUAAUCAAUGAUAGUUUCAAAAUAUUGAAUCCAAGGGCAAUAACUCUGUUUCUAUUGAUUUCUUUAUCAAGUCCAUUAUGCGAUGAUUUCCUUUAGUUUUUACAGAAAUUUUAUAUCUUUUUGUGAAAAUACACUUUCAUGAAAUUGUUAUGAAUGCUACUAUAUCGUCAUAACCAGUUUGUAUGGAAUUUUAAUAACGCUGUUUAAGGAAAAUUGCAAUUUUCUGAUGG